GUUACUUUAACAUAUUUUCUCAAUAUAUGACAAUUUAAAACAUAUAAAAAACAUAUAAUAUGGCUUUAAAAGAAAGAGAAAUGAGUGUACGCAGUAUGUUUUGUUUAUGCUUAUCUUUAAGACUCAUAUAUUAUAAUCAACGUCAUUAUUUUUAUUUGAAACAAAUGUAAAGUUGUUGAACAGCCUGACAUGUCUGUGGCCGAGUACGGUUCCCGAGCGGACAAGAGGUACAGUACAAUCAGGGAAACUGAAGACGACUGGGAAAAUUGGUACUUCUUCCGAGAUUUCAAGAGAAUGCUUUAUGCCAAAGGCAGUUCGUUAGAUUCAAACGCCACCGUGGAAGAUGUAAAUGGUCGGAACCUGCCUGCUUACUUAGUCUUUGGAAAGUCCAUUCUGUUCAUGAAAGACCACGCCGUAUAAGACCUUGCAGAGGCAGGAGUCCCGUAUAAGAAGAAUGGUACCAAAUGGGUGAUCACAAUCCCGUCUAUAUAUUCUCACCGUGCAAAGGGUCUGAUGAAAAAUGCGGCAAUAGAAGUGGCGGGGAUUCCAGCAGCUAGCCUGGUGAUUGUUCUGGAACCCGAGUGUGCGGCAAUUUAAUGUAGCCAGCUCCAGAGAAAUCAACUGGAAAUAAACGGAGAUGGCAGCAAACUUCACAACAUCGCGUCCCGACCUCCUUGCUGAUUGUGCUGGACACGGGAGGAGGUGCAGUUGACGUCACCUCACUUCGCAAAGGCGCAAAAGGACAAAUGAAAAAAGUGGAAUUUUCAUACGAAGCAUGUGAUUCUAUGAGAAUCGAUGAUAAGUUUUUUUAAAUGCUCCAAGACCUUAUUGGCCAAGACGUUUUCGGAGAAUUUGUUAGAGAAAAUAAAAUAGAUUACCUAGACUAUCGGAUGGAUUUAGAAACACAACAAAAAGAGGUCAAACACCCCAGUGACCCUGAUUACAGCCCACGAUUUCGAAUCAGAGUUCAAGAUUCACGGAAACAUUUGUGGGAAAGAAAAACAAACAAAAC